UACGUAGGGGGCUAGCGUUGUCCGGAAUCAUUGGGCGUAAAGCGCGCGUAGGCGGCCAGAUAAGUCCGGUGUGAAAGUCACAGGCUCAACCUGUGAAUGCCGCUGGAAACUGUCUGGCUUGAGUUCGGCAGGGGAGACUGGAAUUCCUGGUGUAGCGGUGAAAUGCGCAGAUAUCAGGAGGAACACCCGUGGCGAAAGCGGCUCUCUGGGACGGUACUGACGCUGAGGUGCGAAAGCGUGGGGAGCAAACAGG
rnacentral:rRNA from 1 species